UACGGAGGGGGCUAGCGUUGUUCGGAAUUACUGGGCGUAAAGCGCACGUAGGCGGCUUUGUAAGUUAGAGGUGAAAGCCCGGGGCUCAACUCCGGAACUGCCUUUAAGACUGCAUCGCUUGAAUCCAGGAGAGGUGAGUGGAAUUCCAGGUGUAGCGGUGAAAUGCGUAGAUAUCUGGAGGAACACCGGUGGCGAAGGCGGCAUCCUGGACCAACACUGACGCUGAGUGAGCGAAAGCCAGGGGAGCAAACGGG
rnacentral:rRNA from 1 species